UGCGAAAAGCGUCGGUAAGGUGAUAUGAACCGUUACAGCCGGCGAUGUCCGAAUGGGGAAACCCAGUGUGAUUCGUCACACUAUCGUUAACUGAAUACAUAGGUUAACGAGGCGAACCGGGGGAACUGAAACAUCUAAGUACCCCGAGGAAAAGAAAUCAACCGAGAUUCCCCCAGUAGCGGCGAGCGAACGGGGAGCAGCCCAGAGUCUGAAUCAGCUUGUGUGUUAGUGGAACGGUCUGGAAAGUCCGACGGUACAGGGUGAUAGUCCCGUACACCAAAAUGCACAGGCUGUGAACUCGAAGAGUAGGGCGGGACACGUGGUAUCCUGUCUGAAUAUGGGGGGACCAUCCUCCAAGGCUAAAUACUCCUGACUGACCGAUAGUGAACCAGUACCGUGAGGGAAAGGCGAAAAGAACCCCGGCGAGGGGAGUGAAAAAGAACCUGAAACCGUGUACGUACAAGCAGUGGGAGCACCUUCGGGUGUGACUGCGUACCUUUUGUAUAAUGGGUCAGCGACUUAUAUUCUGUAGCAAGGUUAACCGUAUAGGGGAGCCGCAGGGAAACCGAGUCUUAACUGGGCGUUAAGUUGCAGGGUAUAGACCCGAAACCCGGUGAUCUAGCCAUGGGCAGGUUGAAGGUUGGGUAACACUAACUGGAGGACCGAACCGACUAAUGUUGAAAAAUUAGCGGAUGACUUGUGGCUGGGGGUGAAAGGCCAAUCAAACCGGGAGAUAGCUGGUUCUCCCCGAAAGCU
rnacentral:rRNA from 1 species